GGGGGCUUGGGACAGCUGGCAUUAGUAUCGGGGGCUUAGCAAUUGGACUGUGGGGUCCCUUGUGCCCAAAGAAGUGUCAGACGCUGUGUCUGCACAUGACAUAUGUGACUGGAGGCCCAGAGCUGGAGAGAUGAUGCCUGAACUCUUGUGGGAUCCGAGUCUUGAGUCCAGUAUAGCAGCCUGAUGAGGGUCCAAUCCAAUGAAGACUGUACAAUCAGGAAUACAAAGGCUCUAAGCAAGUCCUCUGAGGAGAAGUUAGCAGAGCAUGAAAUGACACUUCUAUGAGAGGUUUAACAUACAGCUGUCAGCUGAAAUCUAAAUUCCAGGAGAGACCAGGAUCAUGGAGUCACACAGACAGAGCUUGUGUUCUGUACAGGCUUGGGCCUUUGAAGGAUAAAUUGAAGUGGAGGUUUGAACAUGACAGCUCCCCAGGCUUCAGAGCCAAGGAAUGGGAAACAUGGCCAGGCUGGAUGAAUUUCCAUGGGAUGCCUCCAGGAUGUAUUGUGUGGUACGAGGGAUCUUGCCUGCCUUGAGUGUCAAAUAAAACAUAAAUACAUCAAUGCCUCCAAGGGCCAUUUCUGAUAUUUGUCACAGGUGACAGGCAUGUCUACCCAUAGAAUAACAAUACCUUUCAUUCCUAUGGCACCUCCUAUCCCAGAAUCUCAAAGUCUUAAAUAAGCAAACAUAUUCUCCAAGCGAAGCUCAAACCAUAAUGCAGGAAACUUCAUGCCACCUCUGUGAGUUACUAUCUCCAAUAUGUAGAUCGGGAAAUUAUUUUAAUUGAAU